UAUCCAGAACCACAGGGGAAUCGUUGAUUAUAUAUUGGGGAGGGCAGGUUGGCGUUUCCAAGUGACAGGAAAACGUAGCUUGUGUCGCACUUUGAUUCACGGUCACGUUUACACAGUUGUCUAGGAAACACGACAGUUUUGGUUGCUGCGCCAGCCUUGUUUAGGUUAAUUUAUAGUAUACACUGUAUAGAUAAAUACGCGUCUCCCCUGGUGUGGACAUUUGUGACGCGCAUGUGCAGAACUUGCUGUGAAGCAUUGCCGUGUGCUAGCAGCUAUAUCUCAGUAGAGAGGACAUAACGAUCGAGCCCUAAACAGACGAGUGAUACCACUUCCACAGAGUAUAGCUAACGAGUGAAUAUGGCAAAUGAAAGCAUGGAGAACUCCAACCAAUCUAUAGAGAGGCCCCCCGAGGAUGACCCUGGGCCGCGCAUGGAGUCCGAUGAAAACGCACAACUGGCGCAUAGUGAGGAAAAACCAGAUGAAGGGGACCAGGCUGAAACAAAGACAGAAGACAAAUCUGGCGAGGAUGUUGAUACCAACAUGUCAUGGACGAAGGAGGUAGAACUGAGCAUGGACAACUCUUCUUAUAACAACUCAAUCACUAGCACUGAUAGCAGGUCCGCGCUGCUAAAUGGUGAGACCGGAACUGACGUCACCGUUAAAGAAAAGCCUACCAUUCUGGAUAUCCCUUACAUUCAGGUCGUGUAUGAAUACAACGAUUUCCAGGAUCUUGCCAACGUCGACCAAUACAGGUCUCGUUCUAACACCAUGAUGGGUCUGCUGGAAAGUCCGGCUUACAUCGAUUCCGUUAACUGUCCGACCCCUGACCGACGCAGGCUUGCCAGGGCGUGCCGCAACGCUGUGCUGACACUCAGUCAGGAUAUCGUACAGAAGAAGACCAUGGGAUAUGUUCCUAACGAUCCUGAUAAGUACGAUGAUGCUACACCGAACGACAAAGACGAGGAUGAUCCAGGGGACUUUAAUUCAAUUAACCAUCAUAUGAACAAUCUUGUGUUCCUCGGCAUCACGGUGUUUCUGAUGGCCACGGCUAUCCUGUCCCUGAAGAAUCUACAGAGCAGUCUGAACCACAAUGAUAAUGUUGGUCUGUACUCCCUAGCGGCAGGCUAUUGCAGUUUUACUGUAUUCAGCCUCUUUACGCCCUUCAUUGUCCAAAGGUUCCGUCCCAAACGUUGUCUUAUUAUCGGGCUCCUGCCACAAGUGUUGUACGUGGCGGCAAACCUCUACCCAACGUUUCAGGUCCUGGUUAUCAUGGCAUUCUUUCAGGGUAUAGGGAACGCCAUUUUAUGGAAUGCCAUUAGUACCUAUGUCACAUAUCUCGCACGCUCAUACGCUCUUAAAAACGAUGACCGCACAGUUCAUGUGGCCAGUAGGUAUUUUGGAAUCAUUUUCUUCUUCUACCAGUUUUCCAUGGUAGUUGGAAACCUCAUAUCAUCUGUUGUACUCAUGUUAGGACGUACUCAGGACACGCUGCCAACUCACAACCGUACCGCAACAGUUUUCACCCAUACGUCUUUCAAUCAUUCAUACAGACCUAUGACAGACAUCAACCAUUCCUCCCAGGCGGUUAGUCCUGGUUUCUGUGGCAGCAAAUACUGUCAUUCCGAUAACUUUGCACUGCCAAAUAUGACCGUGAAUAAUGAAACCAAAUAUACGCUCUUAGGCAUAUUUGGUCUCUGUGUUGCAUUUUCCGUUGUUGUUCCGAUGUACUUGUUGAGCAGCCUGAAGCCCUAUAGAACAACGUAUGCCAACUGUUCCGUGAUCUGCAAGCAGUUUACCUCCGUCCUUAGGUGCACGUUUGACCGUCGCUUCCUCAUGUUGUUCUUGGCCUUCAUGUACAGUACCGUCCAAAACAGCUUCGUCACAGGAGACGUUACUAAGGCGUUCGUCACGUGUUCGAUGGGUAUACAUAUGGUGGGUUAUGCGAUGAUCUGUUUUGGCGUCUGCGCUGGCCUCAGCUCCUACUUGAGUGGUUACGUCAACAAGCACGUCGGGCACGUCUGGCUGUUGACCGCAGUUCCCACGACUAGCACUUAAGUUAAAUUCCAGUUGCCUGCUGGGAAGUAUCCAACCAAAGCUUUACUGCUUGAGUGCAAGGGAUGAACACAAACUCAGUUGAGUUUUCACCCGAUAAAGUAUCAUCAUGUUAUCUUCCGGCUGGACAAUUCGACUUAGUCGAAUAAGAAAAGAACAAAUGAAAAGUUCCUGCAUGAAUUCGGACAGGAAUAACCAUUUAUUUGGUUUAAUCCAGGCGCUAGCUGCCAUCUUGAAUCUGGUUCUUCUUCUUGUGAUGUCGCUCUGGGAACCACGUGACAACGGAAUGAUAUUCUACUUCAUCUUGGUUGGUU
rnacentral:misc_RNA from 1 species